rnacentral:rRNA from 1 species
AGUCGANCGGAANGGCCCUUCGGGGUACUCGAGUGGCGAACGGGUGAGUAACACGUGGGUGAUCUGCCCUGCACUUUGGGAUAAGCCUGGGAAACUGGGUCUAAUACCGAAUAUGACCNCGCUCUUCAUGGGGUGUGGUGGAAAGCUUUUGCGGUGUGGGAUGGGCCCGCGGCCUAUCAGCUUGUUGGUGGGGUAAUGGCCUACCAAGGCGACGACGGGUAGCCGGCCUGAGAGGGUGACCGGCCACACUGGGACUGAGAUACGGCCCAGACUCCUACGGGAGGCAGCAGUGGGGAAUAUUGCACAAUGGGCGCAAGCCUGAUGCAGCGACGCCGCGUGAGGGAUGACGGCCUUCGGGUUGUAAACCUCUUUCACCAGGGACGAAGCGCAAGUGACGGUACCUGGAGAAGAAGCACCGGCCAACUACGUGCCAGCAGCCGCGGUAAUACGUAGGGUGCGAGCGUUGUCCGGAAUUACUGGGCGUAAAGAGCUCGUAGGUGGUUUGUCGCGUUGUUCGUGAAAACUCACAGCUUAACUGUGGGCGUGCGGGCGAUACGGGCAGACUAGAGUACUGCAGGGGAGACUGGAAUUCCUGGUGUAGCGGUGGAAUGCGCAGAUAUCAGGAGGAACACCGGUGGCGAAGGCGGGUCUCUGGGCAGUAACUGACGCUGAGGAGCGAAAGCGUGGGGAGCGAACAGGAUUAGAUACCCUGGUAGUCCACGCCGUAAACGGUGGGUACUAGGUGUGGGUUCCUUCCUUGGGAUCCGUGCCGUAGCUAACGCAUUAAGUACCCCGCCUGGGGAGUACGGCCGCAAGGCUAAAACUCAAAGGAAUUGACGGGGGCCCGCACAAGCGGCGGAGCAUGUGGAUUAAUUCGAUGCAACGCGAAGAACCUUACCUGGGUUUGACAUGCACAGGACGCUGGUAGAGAUAUCAGUUCCCUUGUGGCCUGUGUGCAGGUGGUGCAUGGCUGUCGUCAGCUCGUGUCGUGAGAUGUUGGGUUAAGUCCCGCAACGAGCGCAACCCCUAUCUUAUGUUGCCAGCGCGUUAUGGCGGGGACUCGUAAGAGACUGCCGGGGUCAACUCGGAGGAAGGUGGGGAUGACGUCAAGUCAUCAUGCCCCUUAUGUCCAGGGCUUCACACAUGCUACAAUGGCCGGUACAAAGGGCUGCGAAUCCGCGAGGUGGAGCGAAUCCCUUGAAAGCCGGUCUCAGUUCGGAUCGGGGUCUGCAACUCGACCCCGUGAAGUUGGAGUCGCUAGUAAUCGCAGAUCAGCAACGCUGCGGUGAAUACGUUCCCGGGCCUUGUACACACCGCCCGUCACGUNNNNNAGUCGGUAACACCCGAAGCC